rnacentral:rRNA from 1 species
UACGUAGGGUGCGAGCGUUGUCCGGAAUUAUUGGGCGUAAAGAGCUCGUAGGCGGUGUGUCGCGUCGAUCGUGAAAACUUUCAGCUUAACUGGGAGCUUGCGGUCGAUACGGGCAUCACUUGAGUUCGGCAGGGGAGACUGGAAUUCCUGGUGUAGCGGUGAAAUGCGCAGAUAUCAGGAGGGAACACCCGGUGGCGAAGGCGGGUCUCUGGGCCGAUACUGACGCUGAGGAGCGAAAGCCGUGGGGAGCGAACAGG